CCCAAAUAAUUUUAGCCCAUUGAUGAAUAAAUUUUCUACACAUUUGGUUAGUCUUUAGUCCUUGCUUUUACUGUAAGGUUUCAAGAAGUUUCUUGAAGUCAUCGAUGUCAGCUGCGUCUGUUCCCGUUCAACCAGAGAGACCAUUAACGAGAAUCCUCAAAAAACACUCAUUGAUGUCAGAACCGAAAGAAGCUAGCGACACUGAAGAGAUCUCCGUCAUCAUCAACAAUCCACCAAAAUCGCCGCUCAGUUCUAUAACAAAUUUGGAGACCAGGAACCCUCGAUUCAUACUCAAAUCAUUUUCUCAUGUCGCUCCGGCAAGAGAGCUAGGGAAUCCACUCUUCACCCAAAAGUGAAGAUCUACGAAGGCUCCUUCAAUGAUUGGCAGAAGCAUGAGCAGCAAUAAGCUCUUAACAAUUAACAACAAAUCUCUGUUUUCAUUGGGAAUAAAUCAACAAUUUAUUAAACCAAA